CCAUUGACUUUCUUCACAGAUUUAGAAAAAACUACUUUAAAUUUCAUGUCGAACCCAAAAAAGCCUAUAGAGCCAAGACAAUCCUAAGCAAAAAGAACAAGGCUGAAGGCAUCACACUACCUGACUUCAAACUAUACUACAAGGCUGCAGUAACCAAAACAGCAUGCUACUGGUACCAAAACAGACAUAUAGACCAAUGAAACAGAACAGAAGCCUCAGAAAUAACGCCACACAUCUACAACCAUCUGGUCUGACGAAACUGACAAAACAAGCAGUGGGGAAAGGAUUCCUUGUUGAAUAAAUGGUAUUGGGGAGUUUUCCUCAGCUUUGGGUGGUGGCCGCUGCCGGGCUUCGGCUUCCAGUCCGCGGAGGGCGAGGCGGCGUGGACAGCGGUCCCGGCAUCCAGUGCCCAGCCCCAGCCGCCCACAAGCCGCGUGCCCGUCCGCCGAGCCCCGAGCCUGCCGCUUCCCUUCUCAGCGCCCUGCCGCUGCCGCAUCGCCGCGGCCCAGCGAGCGGCCCAGAUGCAGGCCAUCAAGUGUGUGGUGGUGGGAGACGUCUUUGACAAUUAUUCUGCCAAUGUUAUGGUAGAUGGAAAACCGGUGAAUCUGGGCUUAUGGGAUACAGCUGGACAAGAAGAUUAUGACAGAUUACGCCCCCAUCCUAUCCGCUAACAGAUGUGUUCUUAAUUUGCUUUUCCCUUGUGAGUCCUGCAUCAUUUGAAAAUGUCCGUGCAAAGUGGUAUCCUGAGGUGCGGCACCACUGUCCCAAAACUCCCAUCAUCCUAGUGGGACCUAAACUUGAUCUUAGGGAUGAUAAAGACACGAUCGAGAAACUGAAAGAGAAGAAGCUGACUCCGAUCACCUAUCCGCAGGGUCUAGCCAUGGCUAAGGAGAUUGGUGCUGUAAAAUACCUGGAGGGCUCCGCGCUCACACAGCGAGGCCUCAAGACAGUGUUUGACGAAGCGAUCCCAGCAGUUCUCUGCCCACCUCCCGUGAAGAAGAGGAAGAGGAAAUGCCUGCUGCUGUAAAUGUCUCAGUCCCUUCUUCUUGCCCUGUCCCUUGGAACCUUUGUACACUUUGCUCAAAAAAUGGUGGAGCCUUCGCACUGAAUGCCAACUUUUUGUUACAGAUUAAUUUUUCCAUAAAACCACUUUGAACCAAUCAGUAAUUUUAAGGUUUUGUUUGUUCUAAAUGUAAGAGUUCAGACUCAUAUUCUAUUAAAAUUUAGCCCUAAAAUGACAAGCCUUCUUAAAGCCUUAUUUUUUAAAAGCCCCUAUUCUUGCUCAGAUUAAGAGUUGUCAAAAUACCUUCUGAACUAUGCUGCUUUGUUGUGCUGAGAACACCGAGCACUAAACUGUGUAAGACCUUCGUCUUUCAGAAGACCGUAGCUUCUGCAGUUAGGAGAUGCAGACACUUUCUAAGUAGUUUCCAGAUGCAAAGCAGAACAGCCUCCCAAAUGAAGCGUUGCCAUUAAACUCACCAGUGAUGUAUCAGCCCAUGUUCACGACCUAACACUGUACUGAAAUGGAAUGGGUGUAAACAGCUCAGUUCUUUGGAUCAGUCUUUUUGAUUUCAUAGUGAGUUUUCUAAAAAUUAGUUGAUCAGCUUUUGCUGAGAUUUUGAACAGAACUCAUGUGUUUCCUCUAACGAAGUAUUCUGUUUGGUUGUGGGUGUGCCAGGAGGGGUGUGUGUGAUCAAAGGACGAAGACGGUAUUUUGACAAAAUACGAAGUGGAGAGUUACACUACACUGUACAAGGAAUAAAAGUGUCACGGGUAAAAACUCUAAAAGGUUAAUUUCUGUCAAAUGCAGUAGAUGAUGAAAGAAAGGUUGGUAUUAUCAGGAAGUGUUUUCUUAAGCUUUUCCUUUCUCUUGCACCUGCCAUCCUUCCCCAUAUUGGGCAUUUAAUUCAUCUUUAAACUGGUCGUUCCCUUAGUUGCUAACUUAGUAAGUGCUUUUCUUAUAGAACCCCUUCUUACUGAGCAAUAUGCCUCCUUGUAUUAUAAAAUCUUUCUGAUAAUGCAUUAGUUUUUUUUGUAGAUUAGUAAAAGUGCUUUCCAUGUUACUUUAUUCAGAGCUAAUAAGCGCUUUCCUUAGUUGUCUAGUAACUAAAUGUAAAAAUCAUGCGUUGCAGCUUUAUAGUUUUUAAAAUAUUUUAGAUAAUUCUUAAACUAUGAACCUUCUUAACAUCACUGUCUUGACGGAUUACCGACACUGUCACUUGACCAAUACUGACCCUCUUGACCUCGCCCACGCGGACACACGCUUCCUGUAGUUGCUUUGCCUAAUGAUGUUCCUUUGGGUCUGUGAGGUUCUAUAAACUGUGCUAGUGCUGACGAUGUUCUGUACAACUUAACUCACUGGCAAGAAUACAACAUUGGACCUUUCAGCCACUACAACAUUUUUUAAAUUGACAGUUGCAGAAUUGUGGAGUGUUUUACAUUGAUCUUUUGCUAAUGCAAUUAGCACUAUGUUUUGCAUGUAUGCCUUAAUAAAUCCUUGAAUCAUAAAAAAAAUGGUAUUGGGAUAACUGACUGGCCAUAUACAGAAAACUGAAACAGAACACCUUCCUUACAUCUUCUACAAAAAUUAACUCA
ensembl:lncRNA